rnacentral:tRNA from 1 species
GGAAGUGUAGCUCAGUAGUACAGCACAUGCCUAACACUUCCAGAGACUCUGGGUUCUAUCCCCAGUACUACCA